rnacentral:misc_RNA from 1 species
AAGUCGUAACAAGGUCUCCGUAGGUGAACCUGCGGAGGGAUCAUUAACACGUUUCAACAACGUACCCACCAAACCAAUGGAAACGCGAGUCGAGUCUCUCGGCUCAGUUCUCUCCCUUCUGUCUGCUGCAGCAAUGAUUGCUGCAUGUAUUCAGCAAGGCUUUCUCCUUCUUAACUGACCCCUUUCCAACUUCAAUGCUUGCUGCUGAGUACUAUGUGAAAGUAGUGUUUGGUGUGUGUGGUGUUGUUCCUAACUGUCCUGUAUUCUAUGUGCUCCUAGCUAUGCUUAGCUAUGCUGGCGAGCAGAUAGUUGAUAUUUAAUGCAAAGCACAACUCUUAGCAACGGAUAUCUUGGUUCUC